rnacentral:tRNA from 1 species
AAGGAUUUAAGUUAAAUUAAAAACUUUUAACCUUCAAAGUUAAGUAUAGAUAAUGUCUAAGCCUUA